rnacentral:rRNA from 1 species
AUUGAACGCUGGCGGCCGGCCUAACACAUGCAAGUCGAGCGAGCGGCGGACGGUUGAGUAAUGUCUGGGAAACUUCCUUAUGGAGGGGGAUAACUACUGGAAACGGUAGCUAAUACCGCAUACCAUCAUAUGUGGCCCGUGGGGAUUAGCUAGUAGGUAGGGUAACGGCUCACCUAGGCGACGAUCCCUAGCUGUUCUGAGAGGAUGACCAGCCACACUGGAACUGAGACACGGUCCAGACUCCUACGGGAGGCAGCAGUAGGGAAUAUUCCACAAUGGGCGAAAGCCUGACGCAGCAAUGCCGCGUGAGUGAAGAAGGCCUUCGGAUUGUAAAGCACUGUCAGCGGGGAGGCGUUACCUGAAGAAGAAGCACCGGCUAACUACGUGCCAGCAGCCGCGGUAAUAC